UAUCACGAAGUGCCCAUCCAAUACCUGCAGGUUGGUUUGGAGAUAGCCAUGAACCAUCAACGAAGCAACAAUACGAAUUAGCUUGCUUAAGAAUUAAUUUGAGCUAUUCCAUUUUCUUUCAGACUUUGCACUUUCUUUGUUGCUUCCUGUUUAUGCUUUACGUCUAAUCCAUCCAUAUUCACAGCUUCGAACCACAAUUUACAGUCAAAGCAUGGCUUUACUUAUUACCUCCGGUAUUGCCCA